rnacentral:sRNA from 2 species
AUGUACUCCGCGUCCACUGCGGUUGUGAGCGCGCCGUCCGCGCCCACCUGACCGCUGCUUGCUCCGUUUUGUCAGCC